rnacentral:misc_RNA from 1 species
UCCGGUUUGACACCGGCAGUCUCCCUAGAGUGCCCGGCUUUACCCGCUGGUAACUAGGGACGAGGGUUGCGCUCGUUGCGGGACUUAACCCAACAUCUCACGACACGAGCUGACGACAACCAUGCACCACCUGUGAACCGGCCCCAAAGGGGAAGGACUGUUUCCAGCCCGGUCCGUACAUGUCAAGCCUAGGAUAAGGUUCUUCGCGUAGCCUCGAAUUAAGCCACAUGCUCCACCGCUGGUGUGAGCCCCCGUCAAUUCCUUUGAGUUUCAACCUUGCGGUCGUACUUCCCAGGUGGGAUACUUAAUGCUUUCGCUCAGACACCAACAGUGUAUCGCUGAUGUCGAGUAUCCAUCGUUUAGGGCGUGGACUAC